GAUGAACGCUGGCGGCGUGCCUAAUACAUGCAAGUCGAGCGAACGGACGAGAAGCUUGCUUCUCUGAUGUUAGCGGCGGACGGGUGAGUAACACGUGGAUAACCUACCUAUAAGACUGGGAUAACUUCGGGAAACCGGAGCUAAUACCGGAUAAUAUUUUGAACCGCAUGGUUCAAAAGUGAAAGACGGUCUUGCUGUCACUUAUCGAUGGAUCCGCGCUGCAUUAGCUAGUUGGUAAGGUAACGGCUUACCAAGGCAACGAUGCAUAGCCGACCUGAGAGGGUGAUCGGCCACACUGGAACUGAGACAAGGUCCAGACUCCUACGGGAGGCAGCAGUAGGGAAUCUUCCGCAAUGGGCGAAAGCCUGACGGAGCAACGCCGCGUGAGUGAUGAAGGUCUUCGGAUCGUAAAACUCUGUUAUUAGGGAAGAACAUAUGUGUAAGUAACUGUGCACAUCUUGACGGUACCUAAUCAGAAAGCCACGGCUAACUACGUG
rnacentral:rRNA from 1 species